rnacentral:rRNA from 1 species
GAUGAACGCUGGCGGCGUGCCUAAUACAUGCAAGUCGAGCGAACGGACGAGAAGCUUUCUUCUCUGAUGUUAGCGGCGGACGGGUGAGUAACACGUGGAUAACCUACCUAUAAGACUGGGAUAACUUCGGGAAACCGGAGCUAAUACCGCAUAAUAUUUUGAACCGCAUGGUUCAAAAGUGAAAGACGGUCUUUCUGUCACUUAUAGAUGGAUCCGCGCUGCAUUAGCUAGUUGGUAAGGUAACGGCUUACCAAGGCAACGAUGCAUAGCCGACCUGAGAGGAUGAUCGGCCACACUGGAACUGAGACACGGUCCAGACUCCUACGGGAGGCAGCAGUAGGGAAUAUUCCGCAAUGGGCGAAAGCCUGACGGAGCAACGCCGCGUGAGUGAUGAAGGUCUUCGGAUCGUAAAACUCUGUUAUUAGGGAAGAACAUAUGUGUAAGUAACUGUGCACAUCUUGACGGUACCUAAUCAGAAAGCCACGGCUAACUACGUG